CCCGCCCCCGCCAGCCCCGCACCAUGUAUGGCGCUUCCUUCCCGAGCCCUACAAGGAGUUUCCUUCUCUGUCACCGGCCCAUACAUGGCGCUUCCUUCCCGGCGCGGCUGGCAGGCUGCCCGAGGGCUGGAGCACGGCCUCCGAGAGCAGCCCGCCGCGCCGUGACCCUGCCAAGGAGGGGAACGCCGGACAGGCCGGUCUCCGGAGCGCCUCGAAACAGCGCCGCCUUCCACCCCUGCAAGGGUCUCACUGUGUAGCCUUGGCCAGCCUGGAGGUCACUCUGUAGACCAUGGUGGCCUCAAAUCUACCAGCCUCUGCCUCUUGAGUGCUGGUAUCACAGGUGUGUACACCCUGACUUAGGACUUUUCUUUUUCAUACUGCAGGACUGCUUAAAAGAACCUACAGUUGAAUGAAGCCUUUCAAAAUGUAGAGCUUCCUCUGCAAGCAGAAAACCUAGUCCCAAAAUUCAUGUGCACUUUUAAGACCUAUAAAGCAGGAGAAAAACCCUAAAAAAACCAGAAAACUUCAUGAUUUAAAAACUUACUAUAAAGCUGUAUGAACCAAAAUAACAUGGCCCAUGGUCUCACCAUGGAGCCAGGUUGUCCUGAACUUUUCUUUGUUAAUUUUUAUUUUUAUGUGUUUGAGUGUUUUGUCAGCAUAUAUGUCCAUAUACCACUUGUGUCCCUGGUGCCCUGGGAGGUCAGAGGAAGCCAUUAAAUCCCUUGGGACUGGAGUGACAGUUGUAAGCUGCUAUGUGUGUUGUUUUUCAUAAAACAGUGCGGGAUCCCUUGAGGAAUCAGCCUCAGAGAGGCUUAGUAUAAAAGGGGGUUUAUUUAGGACCUGGAGAAGUGGGUUGAGGCAAAGAAAGAGGGCCAGAGAAGGACAGAAA